rnacentral:rRNA from 1 species
AUUGAGCGCUGGCGGCAUGCCUUACACAUGCAAGUCGAACGGCAGCACGGGAGCAAUCCUGGUGGCGAGUGGCGAACGGGUGAGUAAAGUAUCGGAACGUGCCCAGUCGUGGGGGAUAACGUAGCGAAAGUUACGCUAAUACCGCAUACGAUCUAUGGAUGAAAGCGGGGGAUCGCAAGACCUCGCGCGAUUGGAGCGGCCGAUACCAGAUUAGGUAGUUGGUGGGGUAAAGGCUCACCAAGCCGACGAUCUGUAGCUGGUCUGAGAGGACGACCAGCCACACUGGGACUGAGACAGGGCCCAGACUCCUACGGGAGGCAGCAGUGGGGAAUUUUGGACAAUGGGCGAAAGCCUGAUCCAGCCAUGCCGCGUGCAGGAUGAAGGCCUUCGGGUUGUAAACUGCUUUUGUACGGAACGAAAAGGUUUGGCCUAAUAAGCUGAGCUCAUGACGGUACCGUAAGAAUAAGCACCGGCUAACUACGUGCCAGCCGCCGCAGUAA